rnacentral:sRNA from 1 species
GAGGUGAGGAUGGAGCUGGAUCAGAAACUACCCCAGUGGUAGAGCCUACUAAGCUGGUGCUCCCGAUGAAAGUCAACCCAUAUUCUGUCAUCGACAUCACACCAUUCCAGGAGGACCAGCCGCCCACCCCCGUGCCCAGCGCUGAGGAGGAGAAUGUGGGUCUCCAUGUGCCCUGCGGGUACUUGGUGCCUGUACCCUGCGGCUAUGCGGUGCCCUCCAACCUGCCCCUCCUGCUGCCCGCCUACUCCAGCCCGGUCAUCAUCCGCGCCACGUCCCUGGACGAAGAAGCAGAAACGGCAGAAGUCACAGAAGUUCGCCAGCCCAAUUCUCUGAGUUCCGAGGAGCCUCCAACCAGUGAAGAUCACGUCGGUCGAGAGGACAGCGCACUUGCCCGCUGGGCCGCAGACCCGGCCAACACAGCCUGGAUGGAGAAUCCAGAAGAAGCAAUUUACGAUGACGUUCCAAGGGAAAACUCAGACUCUGAACCAGGUUUGAUUUUGUCUGGAAUUGAUUUGAGGA